rnacentral:rRNA from 1 species
AAAUUGAAGAGUUUGAUCAUGGCUCAGAUUGAACGCUGGCGGCAGGCCUAACACAUGCAAGUCGAACGGUAACAGGAAGCAGCUUGCUGCUUYGCUGACGAGUGGCGGACGGGUGAGUAAUGUCUGGGAAACUGCCUGAUGGAGGGGGAUAACUACUGGAAACGGUGGCUAAUACCGCAUAACGUCGCAAGACCAAAGAGGGGGACCUUCGGGCCUCUUGCCAUCAGAUGUGCCCAGAUGGGAUUAGCUUGUUGGUGAGGUAACGGCUCACCAAGGCGACGAUCCCUAGCUGGUCUGAGAGGAUGACCAGCCACACUGGAACUGAGAGA